rnacentral:misc_RNA from 1 species
UCUCCGUUGGUGAACCAGCGGAGGGAUCAUUACAGGGUGGCAAAACUCCCAAACCAUUGUGAACGUUACCUAUCCCGUUGCUUCGGCGGGCGGCCCGGGCCCCGCGCCCGGGGCCCCCCGGCCCCCCGUGGGCGCCCGCCGGAGGUAAACCAAACCCUUGACUUGCAUGGCCUCUCUGAGUCUUCUGUACUGAAUAAGUCAAAACUUUCAACAACGGAUCUCUUGGUUCUG